CAGACAUGUAGAUAAGUGGCAGAAAUGAGUUCAAAUGCCAACUCUGCCUCCUGGAAACCAGGGGUGUUUGUACAAUGCCAUGCAUACGAAUGAGCCUGUGGCUCAUGGGAUCAAGGUUAUGAUCCGUGCAUCCCAGAAUGCAAAGCACAAAUAAAAUGGUUUUUGUUUGUUUGUUUGUUUGCUGAGGAAGAUUUGCUCCAAGCUAACAUCCAUUGCCAAUCUUCUACUUUCUGUAUGCGAACUGCUGUCACAGCAUGGCCACUGAUGAGUGGUGUGGGUCUGAGUCUGGGAACCGAACCUGGGGCACCAAAGUGGAAUGCACCAAUCUUCACCACCAGGCCAGAGGGGCUGGCCCUCAUUAGGUAUUUUUAGAUGGAUGAUAACCAAAUUCUAUUAUUUUCUUCUUUAAAAGCCUAGGGAAGGAAAGGUGUAAGAAUAUGGGAAGAGAUGGUUUU
rnacentral:lncRNA from 1 species